rnacentral:misc_RNA from 1 species
AAGUCGUAACAAGGUUUCCGUAGGUGAACCUGCGGAAGGAUCAUUAACACAAUUUUACUGUGAUAAAAUCCGUUGAAUUCUUCUCGAAUUCAAUGGUAUCCACCCCAUUAUUGACGAACUUUUAAGAUGUUAAAACUAAAAACGUAGAGCUAGUCUUUAUAUUUUUAACAUUCUAAACCUUUUUUAUACCCACACAUUUAUACCCCUUUUACAACAUGUCUUAGACUGAAAUGAAAAUUUUCUAUCAAAAAAUUGAUAAAAACAACUUUUAACAACGGAUAUCUUGGCUCUC